AGCGGGAAGAGCUCAAAUUUGAAAUCUGGCAGUCUUCGAUUGUCCGAGUUGUAAUCUAUAGAGGCGUUUUCCGUGCCGGACCGUGUCCAAGUCUCCUGGAAAGGAGUAUCAAAGAGGGUGAUAAUCCCGUACUUAACACGACCACCGGUGCUCUGUGAUACGUCUUCUACGAGUCGAGUUGUUUGGGAAUGCAGCUCAAAAUGGGUGGUGAAUUCCAUCUAAAGCUAAAUAUUGGCGAGAGACCGAUAGCGAACAAGUACCGUGAGGGAAAGAUGAAAAGCACUUUGGAAAGAGAGUUAAACAGUACGUGAAAUUGUUGAAAGGGAAACGAUUGAAGUCAGUCGUGUUCUUUGGAUUCAGCCAGUUCUGCUGGUCUACUUCCUUGGAACGGGUCAACAUCAGUUUUGUCCGGUGGAUAAAGGUAGUAGGAAUGUGACUUCUCCGGAAGUGUUAUAGCCUAUUAUCACAUACACUGGGUGAGACUGAGGACUGCAGCUCGCCUUUAUGGCCGGUCUUCGGACACGUUCGAGCUUAGGAUGUUGACAUAAUGGCUUUAAACGACCCGUCUUGA
rnacentral:rRNA from 1 species